rnacentral:tRNA from 1 species
UGCAUCAGCCGGAAAUCGAACCCGGGUCGCCCGCGUGGCAGGCGAGCAUUCUACCACUGAACCACCGAUGC